GCUCCGAUGGCCUUGUGCUUUGAGCGUUCGCCUCGGAUGCAAAAGGUCGCGGGUUCGAACCCCAUUCGAGUCA